rnacentral:rRNA from 1 species
UACGGAGGGGACUAGCGUUGUUCGGAAUUAUUGGGCGUAAAGCGCACGUAGGCGGCUUUGUAAGUCAGGGGUGAAAUCCCGGGGCUCAACCUCGGAACUGCCUUUGAUACUGCAAAUCUCGAGUCCGGAAGAGGUGAGUGGAAUUCCUAGUGUAGAGGUGAAAUUCGUAGAUAUUAGGAAGAACACCAGUGGCGAAGGCGGCUCACUGGUCCGGUACUGACGCUGAGGUACGAAAGCGUGGGGAGCAAACAGG